rnacentral:lncRNA from 1 species
AUGUUUCACUUUUUUGCUCUGAAUUUCUCGAUUUCUCGCAAAGUGCGCGCGCGCCCAGCGGGCCCGGCCCGGGACGCUGAUGUCGGGCGCGCGUUUCUCGAUCUCAAACACCGGGUUUCGGGAACAGGUUCCUUCAAUUGGACUUCGCGGAGGAGAUUUAAAGCCCUCAGCCAGCUGCGCCCGGGCCUCUCACCCCGGCUGGCCGGAGUCUCGGGCAGCGGACGGAGCGCAGCCCCGCGCCCUGGGAUGCGGGCGAACAAUGAAGAUGUUUUGCAGUCUGUUAAGGAAGAUGAUGGACUCCGGAAGGCCCAAGAUGCUUUCUGGCUUCAGUCACUGAUUACUGAUGCCUUCCAUGGUAAAGGAUUUCAGGAAAUACAAGCGUAUCUUCAACAGAAAGAAAGCCACCUUCCUCAAAAAUAUGAUCAUCUCCUAUUACACCAUCUUGACGGAUCAGUAAAUAAGGAACUGGAUAAAAAUGAAUUUCGGCAUGUUUCACUGUUGUUGAAAUGUGUUCAGCGAUUCUUCAAAGAUGAUCUCAGAAAAGAUGAGACCUUGUUAAUUCAGCAGGGACUGAUCCCGAAGAUGGCUUCCUGGUUUGAAAGGACGACAGGAUUUCUGGGCACUGAAGCCCUAGCCUCGAGCACAGUGCUGAAGCCCGUCAUAGAGGACUUCUUCGACACCGCGCUGAUUAUUUCCAGAAGUAGUCCUAAAGGAAAAAUUCAGAUGCUGGAUUCCUUCAUCCUUAUCUUAGGCUUCCUGGUGACAGAAAAGACUGUAAAUCACUUGAUUCAACAGGAGGCUCUGAGGACUUUGAACAGCAUUUUGCAAGGCAUACCUCGGGAAGAGAGGAGAAGGCUCCCUUCAGCAGAAGGCGCAUGUCAUCUUAUGAAAGACCUUGCAAGGACAAUCUUGACUGUGGGUGAUUAUGACCAGCAGGUUGCUCUUUCUGAGGCAUUGUGUAGAAUGACGAGUAGAACAUCAAGGAACGACCUUGUCCACCAGUGGUUUGAUGAUGAUGUCCUUGCUGAAGGCUUCAAGAAAAUUAAGGAUCGAGAAUUUGAGACGGACGGUCGAAGAUUUCUCAAUCACCUAAAUGACAGACUUGGUGACCAGAGAAGGGUCUAUUCAUUUGCAUGUGUUGCUGCUUUUGCUGAUGGGCAUGAGAUGAGAAAACCAGCAGAUGAAAAAUUAGAGAAGUUUUGGAUUGAUUUCAACCUAGGAAGCCAGAGUGUGACUUUUUACAUAGACAAUGCUGAGAGUGCUCUGUGGGAACCAAUCAGAGUUGCGAAGGAAGCCGUGGUUAACUUCGGCAUUACAGAAAAUGAGAAGGCGAAGAUAUUCAUCAUUUACCUGAAGGAGCCUAUUGUUAUCAGUAAGAAAGAAGUGAUGAAAAUAGAGAUCCAUUUUGAUUUGCAAGUCCACAUAUCCCAAGCUUCCGUUCAAGCUUUAGGAGAAGACAAACAGGUGUUGCCUGAUCAAAUGAAAAUGUCCUCGGAACACUUUAAAAAGUCUGAGAAAGAAGACAGUGAGAUUCCUAGCAGCCUGGAAAGACAAACAGAACAGGCAGAAGAAUCCACUGAAGCAGCAGAGUCCAUGAGUGCCGGGGGGGACCGUUGUGUGAUAACUCUCCUCUCUGAUUCCCAGGCGGGGCCUCCCCAAAGAAAUACAGCUGAUAGUUCAUCUGAAAAAUUGAAAAUGGGUGAUACUCAAGAAGUUACUUCAAAGCAUGAGCAUUCUUCAAUUGUACAAGACCCAUCGGUCCAAAUCCAGGCUCCUAAAUUAGAUGACAAAUCCAGGGAAGGUUCUGCUAUUGAGGAUGAUACAAAGCAAGAAAGAGGGAUAUCGGACACAAAGAAAAAAAGGACGCCGUUUGAUUAUAGGAAGCAUCUCUUUUCUGAGGAGGAGCACGGUUCAAGUUCUAGUACCAAUGAACAAUCUUGGACUAGUAACCAGAAAAGGAAAUCCUUAAAACCAUACUCCAGCAGAAAAAAGACGAGAGUGAGAAGCAGGCUGAAAAUCUUGCCACUUUUCCCACACAGUAGUGCCAGUGAGCAUGAGAAAAGCCAAGCUAAACUUCUAACACCAGUAUGGAAAGACAGCUCCAGACAGAACAAUGCCACACCUUCAGAAAUGUCUGGAAGAAAACUCCAGGGUAGUUCUGGCUUUUUAAGUCUUAAAGAUUCUGCGCAGAAAACUGAACUUCAAAGUCCACACCCACUGAGCGAUCUACCUGCCUUAGAGGACUCAGAAGUUGAAGAAAACGUGUCUCAGAUUAUAAACCAAGAGUCAUUAAUGGAAAAUACAGGCUUCAAACAUAAGCUGGCAAACUUGGAAGACAAAGACUCGCCAGAAGGGAGUUUUGCUAAGCCCAAACAAUCAAGAUUGGAAGAUGGUGAUGUUCCAGGACCCCCCAGCUUGGCAGACAUUGUGCCAGAGAACUUAGAUGGUUCUGCCGUUAUCACAGCCUUGGAAAACUUCACUGGAGAACUGAAAAGAAGAUAUGAGCUUGGGUACAGAAAGAGUCCAGUUUAUUCAAAGACAGCAAAGAAAGCACCAGAUUGCCUACUAAAACUUUUAAACCAGAUACACCUGCACAGACUGAACAAAUUAGAGAACUUCCACAAUUUUGUUCUUCAACAGUUGAGCAACCUUGAGAAAGAUAUUCAGGCUCUGAAACACCUUGAGAAGGAUGUUCUGGAAUUUUGGGAAAAACAGUCGGAUGAUCUGAAAUCAUUCUGUGAUCUGCAAGUGCUGAGGCUUAACCCAAUCCAGCCUUCCUAAGGAGAAUCAAAGCUUGGUUUUGCUAUUGCAUCCCUCGGUCUGAGCCACCGGAAGAGGAAAAUGAAGAUGGAAUUACCACUGGCUUGGGCCACACAAUCCCUGCUGUGAGCUUGGUGCUCGUUCGGUUUUUAUCUCUCACCCAUUACAAGAAACUUUCUCUACUCUAAACAAUUCCUGGGAACUUCUGAGUUGAAAUCAAAUAGAAUAUGUUGGUAGUUCAUCAUGGUUUUGUUAUCCAUUUUUUCACAAACAUUAAACUUUGUAUUAAAUUUCGGGCAAAUAAUAGAAGGGUCAAGAUGUUCAUUAACUUCAACUGAUGUUGCUUUUUCUCAUGAUUUUAAAAAGUGACAUUGAUUUUUGAAAAAUGUCUUUGAGUUCUGUGGAGCCCCAAACUUCAGCAGCAUCAGCAUAAAUACAAUUUAGUGUAUCUCUUUAAAGGAGGAAUUAAUUUGAAAAUGAUGAAAAUAGCUCAGGUGAAAAGGGUGGUGUAUUUGGGAAAUAAAGGUAUUAGUCAGAUUCACUGGAGCUGCAGAUGUUUCAGUUUCUCCAGCACUUUAACAGAAUUACCAUCUUUAGCAGAGGAGAAAUAUUCACCAUGUGAUAAUCACUAAAUGCUCUCAUGAAGUUUAAGUGCAUGAAGCCACAUAUACCAUUGAGUGUUUGAAUUUAUUUUACAAAAAGAAAUCUACCUACUGUAAGGUCAUCUAAAAGUAAAUUUAUGAUUGGAUAAGAAAAGGCAAAGAUUAUAGACUGAACAGUAUUCAUUAUGUGCUAUAAUUUAGUAAGUUAUACUAUAGUUUAAUUUGCCUAAAAAGUGUUUACAAUCCAGUUGGGUUGUCAUCUUUUUUCUUCAGAAUGUUUGAAUGAGCUAAGCGCUCAUACAUUGUUAAAAGCUUUAUUGAAAACGUGGCAUUCUUUUAAGUCCAAACAAUAAAUGUGGUUAACCUCAUUUCAUUCAGGUACAUUCAGUUCAAGUUUCGCAGUUUUUGGUGACUUGGGGUGGAGGUUGGUGGCAUUACACUGACUCUUCAUUGAAGGGCAUCUAGAAACAUGACUUCCAGUUUCUAUGGAACAUAUAUUUGAGUGACUGUUUUCUAUAAACUCUUAGCACAUCUUUUUUUUUUUUUUUUUUGGGUACGGGGAUCAAACUCGGGACCUUGUGCUUGCGCGGCAGGCGCCGGAACUACUGAGUUAAAUCCCCAGGCCUUAUGUUUUCUAUAAACUCUUGAGUUAGCUUGUGGGGAAGAUGUUAGGAUGGAUAAGACAUGAUCUUAGCUGUUAAGAACUUAAUCUAGAGAGGACAGUAAGACAUCCAGGGAGCUGUCAAUCAAUGCUGUAUGUGACAUAAGCCAUCGGUGAGGUGCAAACUAAACACUGUGUGUGGGAUCGUUUAUGUUGGUGGUCGGGGAUGGCUUCCUGGAGGAGGGGAUACUGCUGGAAAUAGCUCUCAGAUGAGAGGGCUUUUCUAGGAUGAUGGAAAGGAGGCAAAUACGAAUAUGGAAACGGAAGCAGAAAAGUACCAACUUUGAGAUCCUAAUUCUCCGCCAGGGAGAUGUUAGUCAAAUGUUUACAUAAAAAAAUGUGAAAAGCAGCAUGCAGGGUGCUGUGCCAGGGUGUGUGUGAGCACCCUGCCCUGGCCCAGCUGGAGGGGGCGGGCUGGACAGCAGGAUGUGGACAUGGAUGCAGCUUUUCGGGCAAUGUGGAGAGAAGGCUGGGCCACCAGGCAUCCUGGAGGGACUGAUGCCCUGCGUCAGCUGCGUCCCCCACCUGGUGAUGCUGGGUGGCACCUGGACCCUCCCCAGCUCUGGCCCACACCUCUUGACUCCAGUGGAGGAAUAGCCCUGUUCCCGCCCCAGCGAGCUCAUGACCACCUGUGCCUCAGUCUCCUGCAUUGUCUCUGUCCCUCUGCGCCUGGCCUCCGCCCUCUGCAGCAGCUCUUGUAAGUACUUGUUUGGUCCCCACAUCCCUGUUCCAUGCCUGAAACACGUGGCUUCUGUGCUUUCCACGUGAGCCGACCAGAUAGGCAUGAAGGACCAUCCCUUCUGUGUCCCUCCCACGCGGCUCCUUCCUCGGUCUCCUUCCUGUGAGGAAGCUCUCACUGGCUUGAGGCUCUAAUGGGCUGCUUUCAUUGCAGGGUUUGUUCAAAGCCAAGGGUGACUGGAGCAAUGAAGUGGGAAAGUCAAUCUUGAGGAUUCUCCUCUGCCGUCCCAUCCAGGCCCCCCACUUUCUUACUGCUUCCUUCCUUGCAGCCCACUCAGCCCUCACCUCAACCUGCCUCUGCAAAUGUAAGAGCACAAGCCCCGUGCCAAGACAUCCAGGCAGUUUCCGACCACAGUGCACGUGGACUUCAAGGUAUGUGCAGAGGGCUUUGAGGGUGGAGGGUGGCUGAACUUGGUCUCAUCAAUCUGCCAAUCAUGAUUCAGCUGCAGCUUUGUAACAGGUUUCUCCUGGGCUCCGUAAUGACCGCACUGACAGACUGCUCAGCCAGGGUGAGUCGCAGAUUGUCUUGUCCACUUAGUGUUAUUCCAAGGUUUCCCUUUAACAUGGGAAAACAACCUGUAA